AUUGAACGCUGGCGGCAGGCUUAACACAUGCAAGUCGAGCGGGGUGAUGGUGCUUGCACUAUCACUUAGCGGCGGACGGGUGAGUAAUGCUUAGGAAUCUGCCUAUUAGUGGGGGACAACAUCUCGAAAGGGAUGCUAAUACCGCAUACGUCCUACGGGAGAAAGCAGGGGAUCACUUGUGACCUUGCGCUAAUCGAUUAGCCUAAGUCGGAUUAGCUAGUUGGUGGGGUAAAGGCCAACAAGGGCGACGAUAGGUAGCAGGUCUGAGGGGAUGAUCCGCCACACUGGGACUGAGACACGGCCCAGACUCCUACGGGAGGCAGCAGUGGGGAAUAUUGGACAAUGGGGGGAACCCUGAUCCAGCCAUGCCGCGUGUGUGAAGAAGGCCUUAUGGUUGUAAAGCACUUUAAGCGAGGAGGAGGCUCUUUUGGUUAAUACCCAAGAUGAGUGGACGUUACUCGCAGAAUAAGCACCGGCUAACUCUGUGCCAGCCGCCGCGGUAAGAC
rnacentral:rRNA from 1 species